ACGUCUGUGAACCCUGUGUAUCCACCACUGCUUUUCUCUUCAUCAAGCUGCAGUGCGAAGUCCAUUCCAGAGCUCUCGGAAGAUUGUGCUGUAGAAGCAAAAGCAGGCAGCUGCUACCGGGGAGAUAAACGGGACCUGGAAGACCCCAGCAGUUCUGUGGAAGAGAGCAGUGUGUGCUGACAUCUGAGCAUGUCUCCGGGGGAGUGUCCCUUACAAACUUCCAUCGGAUUGCAGAGAAAGCCCAGAGUACUAAUGCUCUUCCAGAGGUCCCAGGUUCAAUUCCCAGCACCCACACGGGAGAAUCAAUCACGUCGUCAUCUGUGGUUCAGACUCUUCUGUAGGAUUUAAUGAGCAGAGACACAACCAUGGGGAAGAACACGACUGGGAGCCAGUCCCUG
rnacentral:lncRNA from 1 species